rnacentral:tRNA from 1 species
GGUGGCUCAGUGGUAGGGUGCUUGCCUUGCAUGCAUGAGGCCCUGGGUUCGAUUCCUUAGCACCA